rnacentral:rRNA from 1 species
AUACGGAGGAUCCGAGCGUUAUCCGGAUUUAUUGGGUUUAAAGGGUGCGCAGGCGGCCAUUUAAGUCGGCGGUUAAAUCGUGGGGCUCAACCCCAUUCUGCCGUUGAUACUGGGUGGCUUGAUUGCGGUCGAGGUUGGCGGAAUUCGUUGUGUAGCGGUGAAAUGCAUAGAUAUGACGAAGAACACCGAUUGCGUAGGCAGCUGACCAGACCGCAAAUGACGCUCAUGCACGAAAGUGCGGGGAUCGAACAGGAUUAGAUACCCUGGUAGUCCGCACAGUAAACGAUGAAUACUUGUUUUCGGCGAUAUAAUGUCGGAGGCAAAGCGAAAGCGAUAAGUAUUCCACCUGGGGAGUACGCCGGCAACGGUGAAACUCAAAGGAAUUGGCGGGG